rnacentral:lncRNA from 1 species
AUUAAUAUAUCUUUGAAAUGGAAAAUGAUAUACUCCCUCCCUCCAAGCCCUCUUCCUCCUCCUCUUCCCUCCAGCCUUCUCUUUAUUGAUUCUUCACCCUAACCAUUCCAUUUCAUAACCACUAAUUUUCUCCUCCAUUCAAUUAGCCAACCACCUGAAAAUAAAACAAAAGAGAAUUAAAUUAUCAAGAUCAACGAUCUAUUUGCCGCCGCCAGAUCCUCCGGAUCAAUGUCCGCCGCCGCCGCCAUCACCUUCUCCGCCGCCCAGAUUUCCACCGUCGCCGCUAACUAUGUGUAGGAGGUUGCCGGAGGCGAAGGAGACCGCAGUGAAGGCUAGGGGCUUUUUGAGGGGGAGGGGAGGGAAAUCGAGGGUUUGUGAGCGUGGUCAUCGAGGGUUUAGGGCUUGGAGGGAAGAGGGGGAUUUUGGGUGGACUGUGAGGGAAGAGGAGAGAGGAAUUUUGGGUGGGCUGAUUGAAAUAAGAAGAGAGAAAAAAUAAAAAUCCAUGGGGUCAUAUGAUAAAAAGGAGACUAUAUCAGCAAAUACACGUCAUUUAUAUUUUAAUUUUUAAAGCCACGUAAGAAAAUUA